rnacentral:miRNA from 1 species
AGCAGGAGUGAAUGCAUGAGUU